rnacentral:lncRNA from 1 species
UGGCAGGUCUGUGGCUGAGUUUGAGGGGCUCGCAGGGACCCUCUGUGAGUAAGGAGGCUGGUAGAUUUACAAUCUCCUCUCUUCCUGUCUCCUCCCCACCUCAGAUCUGGUCUCUGGAGGCCAAGUCCUCCCAUAACCUUAAGCCAUAGAGGGUGAGAGUUGCAGUCAUAUUCAUGAACCCAGGGGCUUAGUAAGGGCUGCCACUGCUCCCUAACACUGAACCUGUUUGGUCUGUGUCCCCCAUAUGAAACUGAGACAGCGAUACGAAUCCAGACCGGAAAAUGGAAAAGUCUGGCAUUGGAGCAGUCCGCAGAACAAGGAAAAAACAGCUUUGCUUUGCUUGGCCCAUUGCUUCAGUAUCUUAUAGUUGGUUUUCUAUUUCUUGGAAGCAAUCAACAUUUCAUUGUUGUUUGCCUUCUGUGUCUUCUCUUUAGCUACUACACAGUUUUCCUCUCUGUCUCAUCACUCUCUUCCAGGGUUUUUACCCUUACUUUUGUGAAUUCUAUUUCUUUAAUGCUCCAAGACUGGUCGGAGAUAGGAACAACACAUAUUUAUAUAGCACUAUGUGCCAUUUUCUAUGCAAAAUGCCUCACAUAUACCCAUUUAUCUAAUCCUCAUACCAAGUAAAUGGGGUGGUACUAUUCCCAUCUUAGGGAUGUGUCUACGGAGGCACAGAGAAGUUAAGUCACUUGCCCAAGUUUGCACUGUGGCAGAGCUAGGAUUUGAACCCCUGCAGUGUGGCUCCAGAGCACAUGCUCCUAAUCACUACAUCAUGUUGUCUUUUCAUCUUGAUUUAAAGGCAAAAAAAUAGGAUGGCCACCGCGCCUAACCAUAACUUCUUAUUUCUUGCAUGGAUUGUAUGCAUUGACUAGGGACACACAAUAUAUUCCAGUUUUUUGACAUAUAGGAUAGCGCACUAUACACAUUGCUUUGCAUUUUGCUUUUUUCACUUAGCAUAUCUGGGUAGGUCAUUAUUUAAUCAGUGCCAUAUUUAAGUACAUUUGUUUCCAGCCUUUGGUUUUUUUGAGUAAUGCUGCAAUUAAUAUCCCUUAUCUGUGUCAUUUCACGCAGGUGCAAAUAUACCUGUAAAAUGAAUUUCUGGAAGCAGCAUUACUGACUCAAGGGUAUCUACUUUUCAUUUUGAUAGAUAUUGCCAAAUUGCUCUCACAGAGGUUUCCCCAAUUUGUACUCCCACCAGCAAUGGACAAGAGUGUUUUUUCUUUUUCACACAAGUCUGGUGUCAAACAUUCUGAUCUUGUCAGUCUUGAUUCUCUGAGUUUUGUUUUGCAUUUCUCUUAUUGUGAGCGAAGUCGAACAUAUUUUCCUAUGAUUAGGAGCCAUGUGUAAUUCCUUUUAUGUGAACUUUUUGCCCAUCUCUGUCCAUUUUCUUUACUUAUUUUUUCUAUUGGGUUAUCAGUCUCAUUGAUUUGAGAAGUUCUUCGCAUGUUAAGGAAAGCAGCCCUUUGUCUGAAAUAUACUUGAAAUAUAUAUACAUAUAUUCUGGCUUUUUGUUUUACUUUGUUUAUACUUUUUAAAAAGUCAUGAUGAUCUUUUCUUUCAUAAAGUAAUUCAAUUUAUUGGUCUUUUCUUUUAUGACUUUGGAGUUUUGUAUAAUAUUAGGAAGGCCUUCCCCACCAUUAAGAUGAUUUUUUUAAAAUCCCGUGUUUUCUUCUAGUAUUUUUAUGGUUUUAUUUUUGAGGUUUGCAUUGUUUUUUAAAUCUGGAACUUUUGUUGUUGGUUGUUGUAACAUGUAGAAUAUAUAUUCAACAUUUGUCCAAAUGGCAACCUUAUUGUCACAGCAUCAUUUCCUGAAAAAUCCAUUUCCCUCCCACUGAUUGAAAAUAGAAAGUC